GACGAACGCUGGCGGCGUGCUUAACACAUGCAAGUCGAACGGAAAGGCCCUGCUUUUGUUGGGUGCUCGAGGGGCGAACGGGUGAGUAACACGUGAGUAACCUGCCCUUGACUUUGGGAUAACUUCAGGAAACUGGGGCUAAUACCGGAUAGGAGCUCCGGCUGCAUGGGGGGGGUUGGAAAGUUUAGGCGGUUGGGGAUGGACUCGCGGCUUAUCAGCUUGUUGGUGGGGUAGUGGCUUACCAAGGCUUUGACGGGUAGCCGGCCUGAGAGGGUGACCAGCCACCUUGGGACUGCGAUACGGCCCAGACUCCUACGGUAGGCAGCAGUGGGGAAUCUUGCACAAUGGGCGGAAGCCUGAUGCAGCAACGCCGCGUGCGGGAUGACGGCCUUCGGGUUGUGAACCGCUUUCGCCUGUGACGAAGCGUGAGUGACGGUAAUGGGUAAAGAAGCACCGGCUAACUACGUG
rnacentral:rRNA from 1 species